rnacentral:rRNA from 1 species
GACGAACGCUGGCGGCGUGCUUAACACAUGCAAGUCGAACGGAAAGGCCCUGCUUUUGUGGGUUGCUCGAUUGGCGAACGGGUGAGUAACACGUGAGUAACCUUCCCUUGACUUUGGGAUAACUUCAGGAAACUUGGGCUAAUACCGGAUAGGAUCUCCUGCUGCAUGGUGGGGGUUGGAAAGUUUCGGCGGUUGGGGAUGUACUCGCUGCUUAUCAGCUUGUUGGUGGGGUAGUUGCUUACCAAGGCUUUGACGGGUAGCCGGCCUGAGAGGGUGACCGGCGACAAUGGGACUGAGAUACGGCCCAGAAGCCUACGGGAGGCAGCAGGGGGGAAUAUUGCACAAUGGGCGGAAGCCUGAUGCAGCAACGCCGCGUGCGGGAUGACGGCCUUCGGGUUGUAAACCGCUUUCGACUGUGACGAAGCGUGAGUGACGGUAAUGGGUAAAGAAGCACCGGCUAACUACGUG